UUUAAUGACUCGUGGAGCAGUUUCCUCAUGGAUGUGCUUUCCCCUCUGAGCUUCAUCAAGGUCUCCCAUGUCCGUAUGCAGGGGAUCCUCUUACUGGUCUUUGCCAAGUAUCAGCAUUUGCCCUAUAUCCAGAUUCUGUCUACUAAAUCCACCCCCACUGGCCUGUUUGGGUACUGGGGGAACAAAGGUGGAGUCAACAUCUGCCUGAAGCUUUAUGGCUACUAUGUCAGCAUCAUCAACUGCCACCUGCCUCCCCACAUUUCCAACAAUUACCAGCGGCUGGAGCACUUUGACCGGAUCCUGGAGAUGCAGAAUUGUGAGGGGCGAGACAUCCCCAACAUCCUGGACCACGAGUGAGCCUGGGUCUGCAGACCGUUCCCCGCCCUCUGCCCCACG
rnacentral:sRNA from 1 species